rnacentral:rRNA from 1 species
UACAGAGGUCUCAAGCGUUGUUCGGAUUCAUUGGGCGUAAAGGGUGCGUAGGUGGUGAUGCAAGUCUGGUGUGAAAUCUCGGAGCUCAACUCCGAAAUUGCACCGGAUACUGCGUGACUCGAGGACUGUAGAGGAGAUCGGAAUUCACGGUGUAGCAGUGAAAAUGCGUAGAUAUCGUGAGGAAGACCAGUUGCGAAGGCGGAUCUCUGGGCAGUUCCUGACACUGAGGCACGAAGGCCAGGGGGAGC